rnacentral:misc_RNA from 1 species
AUCGAGUCUGAUAUGAAAUAGCAGUAUUUCAUUAACGGUCCAAAGAUGUAGCCGGCUGCGUCGUGUUUUUUCUCCUCGCGAAUCUGUGUCUUGAAUUCACCCGGUGACCGGUGCGACCCUGAUAUGAAAAGAAUAGUGUCGAGAUUUGUGUUGGCAUUUCUCGUUGUUCGCCCAUCGAUUCGACUAGUCACAAGCUUCCUGCAGAAAGCUCAUCGGGCUAUUUCACUCCCUCAUGGAAAAAUGUACUCGGACGAGAAUUCUUAUCUCCUCGGGAAGUCUGGUUCGGGAACUGUUUAUGUCAACAUUUCCGAUUCAGAUGUCAAAAAAUAUCGAGCGUUGAGCCACGAGGAGUACCAGUAUUAUGAAGCGAGACCACUUUGGAUUAAAAUAAGAUUGUGUCUCUUCUGGUUAUUCUGGGCUGCUUUUUUCACGGUCAUCAUUAUCUUCGUACUUAUCUACUGGUGCAUCGCGCCAAAUUUUUGCCCGAAUAACGUCGUUUAUUCCGUUUGAAGCUUUUCACCGUUACAAAUUAUCCGAGAAAUGCAUUUUCAAUAAUGAUACGAUAACGCGGUAUUGUUUUUGUCGAGAACAAACGGAUCUCUGGAAUGUUCGUUGUAAUCUCGUCGACUCGUCGUAGCAGACUAAAGAGCGCGAGCGAGUGUGUAUGUGCGUGCGGGAGAGCGAGAGAGAGAGAGAGAGAGAAGCAAACAAAGCGAAAAACAACAAACACAUAUCUCUGUGAUAAAUCGGUGAAGUCGAGAAGCGCUUUUGCAAGCUGCUCGUACCAAACAUUUUCGUAUAUAUUCAGCGAAAAAAUUUUUCCCUCAGAUAUAUUACCACUACAUUUGAUAACUUUUAUUGACAUAAAAAAAUGGUUUUCUCAUUAAAAUGACAAGCAUAGUUGAAGAAACGUAUCUUUGCACGAGCAACGCAACGGAAUACUGUAAUAUCAUUGUUACUGUUGCCAUUAUUAUGUUAUUAUUGAUAUAUUUAAGAGCAUGGAUGAGUCGGUGCAUCGCAGUGGUGAGUGCGAGAGAGAUAGCUGCAAAUUUUGAAAGUGAAAUUUUCCCAUACCGUUUGCCCGAUCGAAAUAAUAAAUAAAAUGUCCGUUUUCGCCAUCGUCCUGCGUGGGCUGACAGAGCCUUUUUUCAAUCGGUCAAACCGUGUCAAAGGAUUUCGAUAUCGAAAAUUCCAAGUGAGGUUAGGUGACUGAUCCCGACUGGCCGUAUAGGGCAAAAAAACAAAAAAAAACGGGAGUUAUGCGUUUCACGGCGAGCACGGCGAUCAGUGGGUGGGGGGAAUUCCUUUGUCGCCAGUUUUUUCAGAAACGAUGUAUGAUAAUUGUCUUGACCAAUUUUUGAAAUCGCUCGAAUCAGUCUUCAGCUUCCCAAAUGUCCGUAGGCAUAUUGAACGACUAUUUUGAGCUCAUUGUUGUAUUGAAGUUAGGUUAAGUACGGCGAGGAUUUGGGAAGAGGGGCUUAUUAUAACCUUUUUUUUUUAUAGACACAUAGUGAUACUCUUAUGAAGAAUCACGAGCUUCCGUACAAGCUCAAUAGAAGAUGAGAACAGUUGACGAAAGCCAUAGUCGCGACAAUAGUCUCGAUCCAGCUCAGCGGUCCUACAAUAAUUCGUGGAACCGUAACUCGCAGAGUUGAAAUAUCAUUACGCGUGCAUCCAUGUUCAUUAAAAAAUUAUAUAGUGAUCAUCGUUAUACUAAUUUUUCUUAUGGAAUAAUUAUUGACGUAGGCUAUUGUAAUGUUUCCGAAAUAACAACAGUUCCCGUCGUAUUAUUGGUGACACCAUUUAUUAAUCGGAACAACGUUCUAUCAAAAAUUGAAAUGUAGUCGUUGUUGAGCCACGUGUUUAUUCGUUGGAGGUCGGAGCGAAGAUGACCACUUGGUGCCUAGUGUCGCCCGCUGUUUUUAGUUUCAGAGGGCGCUGACAACAGUUUUCCGAAGUUUGAAUCCUACAUUACAGCUAUUUUCAAAAAAUCCAUCUGAAUGUACGAUUUUUAUAAAUAUAUCAAAAAUCAGAAAACUUC